AUUGAACGCUGGCGGCAGGCUCAACACAUGCAAGUCGAGCGGGGUGAUGGUGCUUGCACUAUCACUUAGCGGCGGACGGGUGAGUAAUGCUUAGGAAUCUGCCUAUUAGUGGGGGACAACAUCUCGAAAGGGAUGCUAAUACCGCAUACGUCCUACGGGAGAAAGCAGGGGAUCACUUGUGACCUUGCGCUAAUAGAUGAGCCUAAGUCGGAUUAGCUAGCUGGUGGGGUAAAGGCCUACCAAGGCGACGAUCUGUAGCGGGUCUGAGAGGAUGAGCCGCCACACUGGGACUGAGACACGGCCCAGACUCAUACGGGAGGGAGCAGUGGGGAAUAUUGGACAAUGGGGGGAAACCUGAUCCAGCCAUGCCGCGUGUGUGAAGAAGGCCUUAUGGUUGUAAAGCACUUUAAGCGAGGAGGAGGCUCUUUUGGUUAAUACCCAAGAUGAGUGGACGUUACUCGCAGAAUAAGCACCGGCUAACUCUGUGCCAGCCGCCGCGGUAA
rnacentral:rRNA from 1 species